rnacentral:rRNA from 1 species
UACGAAGGGGGCUAGCGUUGCUCGGAAUUCCUGGGCGUAAAGCGCACGUAGGCGGAUUGUUAAGUCGGGGGUGAAAUCCUGGAGCUCAACUCCAGUACUGCCUUCGAUACUGGCGAUCUCGAGUCCGGGAGAGGUGAGUGGAACUGCGAGUGUAGAGGUGAAAUUCGUAGAUAUUCGCAAGAACACCAGUGGCGAAGGCGGCUCACUGGCCCGGUACUGACGCUGAGGUGCGAAAGCGUGGGGAGCAAACAGG